rnacentral:rRNA from 1 species
UGGGGAAUAUUGGACAAUGGGCGAAAGCCUGAUCCAGCCAUGCCGCGUGUGUGAAGAAGGUCUUCGGAUUGUAAAGCACUUUAAGUUGGGAGGAAGGGCAUUAACCUAAUACGUUAGUGUUUUGACGUUACCGACAGAAUAAGCACCGGCUAACUCUGUGCCAGCAGCCGCGGUAAUACAGAGGGUGCAAGCGUUAAUCGGAAUUACUGGGCGUAAAGCGCGCGUAGGUGGUUUGUUAAGUUGGAUGUGAAAGCCCCGGGCUCAACCUGGGAACUGCAUCCAAAACUGGCAAGCUAGAGUACGGUAGAGGGAGGUGGAAUUUCCUGUGUAGCGGUGAAAUGCGUAGAUAUAGGAAGGAACACCAGUGGCGAAGGCGACCACCUGGACUGAUACUGACACUGAGGUGCGAAAGCGUGGGGAGCAAACA